rnacentral:rRNA from 1 species
CCUACGGGCGCAGCAGUGGGGAAUAUUGGGCCAUGGGCGCAAGCCUGACCCAGCAACGCCGCGUGAAGGAAGAAGGCUUUCGGGUUGUAAACUUCUUUUGACAGGGAAGAGUAGAAGACGGUACCUGUCGAAUAAGCCACGGCUAACUACGGGCCAGCAGCCGCGGUAAUACGUAGGUGGCAAGCGUUGUCCGGAUUUACUGGGUGUAAAGGGCGUGUAGCCGGGUUGACAAGUCAGAUGUGAAAUCCUGCGGCUUAACCGCAGAACUGCAUUUGAAACUGGUGAUCGUGAGUGCUGGAGAGGCAGGCGGAAGUCCUGGUGUAGCGGUGAAAGGCGUAGAUAUUAGGAGGAACACCAGUGGCGAAGGCGGUCUGCUGGACAGCAACUGACGGUGAGGCGCGAAGGCGUGGGGAGCGAACAGGAUUAGAUACCCGAGUAGUC